AUUGAACGCUGGCGGCAGGCCUAACACAUGCAAGUCGAGCGGAUGAAGGGAGCUUGCUCCUGGAUUCAGCGGCGGACGGGUGAGUAAUGCCUAGGAAUCUGCCUGGUAGUGGGGGAUAACGUCCGGAAACGGGCGCUAAUACCGCAUACGUCCUGAGGGAGAAAGUGGGGGAUCUUCGGACCUCACGCUAUCAGAUGAGUCUAGGUCGGAUUAGCUAGUUGGUGGGGUAAAGGCCUACCAAGGCGACGAUCCGUAACUGGUCUGAGAGGAUGAUCAGUCACACUGGAACUGAGACACGGCCCAGACUCCUACGGGAGGCAGCAGUGGGGAAUAUUGGACAAUGGGCGAAAGCCUGAUCCAGCCAUGCCGCGUGUGUGAAGAAGGUCUUCGGAUUGUAAAGCACUUUAAGUUGGGAGGAAGGGCAGUAAGUUAAUACCUUGCUGUUUUGACGUUACCAACAGAAUAAGCACCGGCUAACUUCGUG
rnacentral:rRNA from 1 species